rnacentral:rRNA from 1 species
GAUCACGUUCAUAUUCAAGGGGGAAACAUCAGAUCCCAUACCGAACUCUGUAAUUAAGCCCCUUGGAGUCGGCGUUAGUACUGCCGUUAUCCAACCGGUGGGAAACGCCGAAACGUGAUCU